ACUUUGGAAUUUUGCACAGAGAAAUCCAUUAAUUUACCAUUUGUAACAAAUUACGGCAACAAAACGUAUUAUUUGCAUACUAACAAUGAAGUAAAUUGGCAUAAAGCGUACAUAAGUUGCAAAACAUACAAUAUGGAGUUAAUAAGUAUUGAUACUGAUAAAGAAUUCGAUUAUAUUCGUAGUUUUCUUUUAAAUUUCUCAGUUGAAUCGGACAAUAUAUCUGUGUGGACUUCUGGAAUAUCUUUAGAAACCGAAACAGAUUUUUUUUGGAUGAGCAAUGGCCGUGGUGUUAUAUCUAAUCGCUGGCAUUCGGUUUCACGAAUUCCCAAUUUAGAAAGCUGCAUACGUUUCUGGGGUCAUUUAGAUACAUAUUUACUUGACGAUAUGUAUUGCAAUACUACAUUGUACUAUAUGUGUCAGCAUACCAAAAAUGUUUGUUAGAUGUCUAUAUAAAGCAUUUAAAAUUUUAUUCACAAUA